ACUUCCUGUUUUAUCUCUCAAGUCCCAAUGGGGUCAUUAAUUAUCUAACACACAAUUAAUUUUCUUACAGUUUCUCGAGAAAUUCAAUUCAUUUCAAACCUCAAACCUUGUAUUUCUCUGAUUACCGUACCAGAAAAAAAGUAUUUAUCGGAUUAACUUAAAAAUUUUAGAGGUAUGCUUUUCUAUUCUCAGAUUCAUCUUUCCUCUUUUUCAUUUCCUUUAUUAAUGUACCAAAUUCCUCGUCAACCAUCGUUUGAUCUCAGUCAAUUUUCUUUCUUGUCUUUCAAUUUUCUUAGCAAACAAUUGCACAAACAUAACAUUACCCAUUGAAAAUUUGAUUUCUUUAUGUUAAAAUUUGUAAUGGCUCAAUAGAAACUCGAAUUCCAACUUCAAUUUGAUUUAGAACAUAUUUGAUUUCCAUAUUAAAUUAUCCUUCAAUCUCAUUUCGUUUUUAAUUUGUUGAUCAUAAUUUAUAAGGUUUUCUUUAGGUGCAUAAACCAAAUCACACAAUCAUAAAUGGAUAUUGAUGAGAUUAUUGGGGAGACCGCAAGGUCUUCCAUGAACCUACCAACAAAGAGUGCAAUUUAUGUGUGGGGAUAUAAUCAGAGUGGGCAAACGGGUAGGAAGGGCAAGGAGCUCCAACUGCGGAUUCCAAAGCAGCUUCCUCCUGAGCUCUUUGGGUGCCCGGCCGCUGCCAAUGCUCGCUGGUUAGAUAUAGCUUGUGGCCGUGAGCAUACUGCGGCGGUAGCCUCUGAUGGGUCGCUUUUCACUUGGGGUGCUAAUGAUUUUGGUCAACUGGGAGAUGGCACUGAGGAGGGUAGGAAGUACCCUAAAAAAGUCAAGCAAUUGGAGACUGAGUUUGUGAAAUCUGUAUCGUGUGGAGCACACUGUACUGCUGCUAUUGCAGAGCCUCGUUAUAAUGAUGGAACCAUCUCAACAAGUAGACUUUGGGUUUGGGGACAAAACCAAGUAGUCUAUCGCUGUGAAAAUUGUGAUCUUUCUUUCAAGUAUGGAUAUGCAUUUAUCUUUUCCUUUUCUUUUUCUUGUAAAAUUUCUACUUUUCGUGCAGGGUUCAAAUUCUCCACGUUUAUUUUGGGGGGCCUUCUUGCCUAACACAGUAUGUGUUUGUUUAUAUUUUCAUUUUUGAGUUUCAGACAACCUACUUGCAAAGCAAAAUCUCACACUUGAAGCAAAUGAUUUAAGACCAUAGUUGUGAUAUGUUCUUGAAUAAUUGUAAUAGCUAAUAAUUCAUCUGUUUAGUUGGACUUUUCUUUUCAAAUUUCAUGAUCUUGAGUUAUGGCUUGUGGUUUUGUUAGAGACGAUGAUGAGGGCAUGCGACAUAUUUAGCAAUUUCAUAUAAGUUUUUUAAAGCAUUAUCCUUACAUGCUGCAUUUUCUGAGAGGCAAGCAGAGUCAUAGCCAUCUGCUACUCAAUUGAACACGCUGUGCAUGUGUUUGCUUUAAUCAACCCUUCCUAGCUGUUCUAUGUUGUCACGUUCCAAAUUCUACCUUUUUGAGCAGUUGAGGAAGAUUGAUGCAAUGGAUUACUCAUGGUUCAUGAAUACUCAUCCUCAAUGGAAGUCCAAGUGGUUUUGACUAAUUGAUUCUAUAUCAGUCGAGACUCAAGAGGUCUUUCUCUUUAUUGAUUCUACAUCAAUCGGAAGGUCUUUCUUGUCAUAGACUAAGCAUCCAUGGUUGAUUUGAAGUCCUAUAUCAUAUUAUUUGGCGUCCUUUAUGAAGUAGAGUUAUUAAUGUUUCUUAUUUCCAUUUUAAGAGUUAAAUAUAGUCAAUUUAUUGUUGUAGAUUGAUUAUUGUAGCAUUUACUUUUCUUGUUACUGUCAUGCUAUUCUAACAAUGAAUGUUUUUGGAUAAAUUUGUAAUUUUGCCUUCUGUAUUUGAGGUUUUAAAUAAUUGGAUGUGACAACACUUAAUUUAUGCUGUGUGCUAACUGCUAACAUAUCUUUAAUGUUUGCUUUACUGCCUUUGAUAUGGUAGAAUAAAUUGAGAUCUUUAUUUCUACUUUACAGAUUAUCCAUCAAGUGUCCUGUGGUGCAGUUCAUGUGGUGGCUUUGUCAGAGGAUGGCCUACUACAAGCUUGGGGCUAUAAUGAAUAUGGUCAGCUUGGCAGAGGUGUAACUUGUGAAGGACUCCAGGGAGCUCGUUUAAUAAAUGCUUAUGCAAAGUUUCUUGAUGAAGCCCCUGAGCUAGUGAAGAUUACCCAAGUGUCAUGUGGGGAGUACCACACAGCUGCCAUUUCUGAAAAAGGCGAGGUGUAAGUUAUCUGAAGGACUUCUUAGAUGGAGAUAGGUUCUACAUUUAACAAUGAAAAUUGUGGUUGUCUACAUGACCCAUGUAACUCUCUUUGAAGGUUGGAAAAAAUCUUCUUAUGGGAAUCUCACGUCUAGUCAGGAGAUGGGAUGCAAUGGAAAUGUGAUGCAUUCUAAUGUGCAAGUCUCUUUUCCCUUAGCUUGGCUAUACCAUAAAAAAGGCUUAACUUCAUUUUGAAUUUUGUCAUUUUUAACAUUAAAUCAAUGAUUGGCUAGUUUCCCCUGUUCUCAAUAUACUUGGCUGUAGUCUAGCAAGUGGUAGAAUCUUAAUACACUAAUGUUUCUUCCAUAUUGAUUAUGGUUUGGUUCUAAGUAUCAUAACUUACUGUGAAUUAAACUUGUUGUAUGUAAGUGAUUCUACCGUGUGAUGAUCACUGGCACUCAAUGUCCACACUAGGUUUAAUAUUGUUAUUGGUUGUGUGUAUGUGUGCCUAUAAAUGCUAUUUAAUGAUUGUUGGUUGGACAGUAAUUCUUUUCUUGGCGUAAGAUUGCUUUUGAAAUUUGAAGCAUAUUUUAGGAGUUGUGAAAAUAAAUACACUAAUGCAGAAACAUGAUCUGUGUUCAUGUUGGGAUAAUAUAAGAAGUUGGAAAUGAAAGGUUACUAUAAAAUUUUUUCCUUAAUGUUCUUUUUGAUCUUUUGUAUCUUAUCUCACUCAAGGUUAGUUGGGUAAAUUCUUGCAUCCCAUUUACUGGGGCUGGGGCCUGUAUAGAAGUCCAGAUUUGCUGUUUAGCUGUAUUCAGGAGCACAUUUCGUGUUUAUUCAACUCUUACAUGUCCUUGUGCCUCGAACCCAAUAGAGAAGAGCACUCCACAAUACACCAAAACAUAAUACUUGUCAAAUUUCAGUAUGUUGGUUAAAAAGUUUGAAGUGGAAUUUUUACUGGAUUUGAAACCACCAUAAGAUAUAGAUCAGCCUUACUUCAUAUACAAGCAGCUGUAUGAAGAUGGAGGUAUAGGAUAAACUAUCAACAUGAAUAAAAAGUAUUAUAUGGAUUUAGCAAUGACCUUAAGACAGGAGGUACAAAAGGGUUUGUUUGUUUUUGUACCAUAUAGCUUGCAAAGCCUGGUAUACUUGGUGUCAUUUUAUGGUAGCUUGUGAUUUAAUUACAUAUCAACUGCAUAGAGAUCAAGGGACAUCUAUAGAAUAAAAGAUCCAUAACAUAGUGUCUUGAUCUUUUUGGUUCCAACAUAUGCAAUGGCCUCACAAGCUUGGUUUCCCCCAAAAAUUGCUUCUUCCCACAUGGAUGAUAAUCUCCUAUAGUGGCAUUGUGAUGCCCCUUUGAUCCAUAUAGAUGCUAAUCCUUUAACAGAAAGACCUGUCACGUCUUGAAGGACUGUAAGUUGAAUCUUCUGUUUGCCUAGCUUUAUAGUGAUUUUUUUCUCUUCCUUUGCUGUUCCUCCCAUAUUCCUUUUCUCCUCCCUCAUAUUUUGAGAGUCCAUUUUGGCUCUUGUAGAUAACUAGUUUAUCUUGUUAUUUUUUACGUAGUGUGCUAUUGUAGAAAAUUCUGAUAUUAGCUUUUUUUACCAAUACUUGUCAGCCUUUGUUGAUCCCCAUCCCUCUCCAUUUGUGAGAUGAUUAAUUCAAAUAAUUCUCUCACUUAUGAAAGCCUAUUUUAUUUUCGUCCUUUGACCAUGCUCAAACAAUAAAUAAUAGAAAUGUCAUCCUUUAGAAAAGGCCUCAUCUUAAUUAUUAUUAUUAUUAUUUUUUUU
rnacentral:misc_RNA from 1 species